GAGCAUCGUGUCGGCGUGCGCGGC
rnacentral:miRNA from 1 species